AGAGUUCGAUCCUGGCUCAGAUUGAACGCUGGCGGCGUGCCUAACACAUGCAAGUCGAGCGGUAACAGGUGUAGCAAUACAUGCUGACGAGCGGCGGACGGGUGAGUAACGCUUGGGAAUCUGCCUGAUAGUGGGGGACAACCCGGGGAAACUCGGGCUAAUACCGCAUACGCACUACGGUGGAAAGCCGGGGACCGCAAGGCCUGGCGCUAACAGAUGAGCCCAAGUCGGAUUAGCUAGUUGGUAGGGUAACGGCCUACCAAGGCGACGAUCCGUAACUGGUCUGAGAGGACGACCAGUCACACCGGAACUGAGACACGGUCCGGACUCCUACGGGAGGCAGCAGUGGGGAAUAUUGGACAAUGGGCGAAAGCCUGAUCCAGCAACGCCGCGUGCGGGAUGACGCUUUUCGGAGUGUAAACCGCUGUUCGGGGGGACGAAGCACUGACGGUACCCCCGGAGGAAGGCCCGGCUAACUACGUGCCAGCAGCCGCGGUAAUACGUAGGGGUCGAGCGUUGUCCGGAGUUACUGGGCGUAAAGCGUGCGCAGGCGGCUCAUUGCGCCCGGCGUGAAAGCCCCCGGCUCAACCGGGGAGGGUCGUCGGGGACGGGUGAGCUUGAGGGUAUCAGGGGCUGGUGGAAUUCCCGGUGUAGCGGUGAAAUGCGUAGA
rnacentral:rRNA from 1 species